rnacentral:rRNA from 1 species
CACGUAUUUAGCCGUCACUUCUUCUGUUGGUACCGUCAUUUUUUUCUUCCCAACUGAAAGCACUUUACAUUCCGAAAAACGUCAUCGUGCACACAGAAUUGCUGGGUCAGACUCUUGGUCCAUUGUCCAAUAUUCCCCACUGCUGCCUCCCGUAGGAGUAAGGGCCGUGUCUCAGUCCCCUUGUGGCCGUUCACCCUCUCAGGCCGGCUACCCAUCAUCGCCUUGGUGAGCCGUUACCUCUCCAACUAGCUAAUGGGACGCAAAGCUCUCUCACAGCGCGUAUAGCUUUCAUAAUUCUAAGAUGCCUUAAAAUCAUAAUAUCAGGUAUUAGCAUUCGUUUCCAAAUGUUGUCCCUAGCUGUGAGGCAAGUUCUUUACGCGUUACUCACCCGUCCGCCACCCAAAUCUAAAGUUAAAAACCCAAAUUCAAGUUGACUUGCAUGUGUUAAGCAUUCUGUCAGCGUUCAUCCUGAGCCAGGAUCAAACU